GACAGCACAGGCAGGGGGUGUGAGGACCAGGUCACCUUAACGGGCUCUGGUGCCGCACAACCAGUGCCCGUCAGGCAGCAGCAGAAGCCUGGCCCAGCCGCUGGGGACCUCACAGUCCAGAGACCCUUCCCACUGGCUGCUGCCCCCUCGCGCCUGCAAGGGGAGCGGAGUCCCGCCUGCAGCGUCGUCUUCUCAGGCCUCAGGCUCCUUUCACGUGACAUUUCAGACGCAACAUCCAGACCACAAGUAAUGAGGCCCAUGGGGAAACUAGAAACUGCAUGGGAACCCAUGAGGACUGCAGCCCACGGCCACACAGAAGCGUGAGGGACCCUUCCGAUCUGGAAACGAACCAGAUGCGAGGAGACACCUGAAAACUACAAAACCCCAAAACAGGUCCUGCACAAAUACACGCGCAGGGAUGACCCGUCUCAGACACCAGCAGGUGGAGAUAGGCCCGAGCGAUGGCGCAAAGGCAGGAACGGCUGCCGGUGCAGGGGUGCAGCAGGCACGGCGGGAUCCCCGAGAAUUGGGGGCGUGGGGGGAGCUAGUGCCCCGAGGACAAAACCCCAAGAGGUGGGACAGCUAAAAACUUCCUAGAACAAAUGAAAGCCAAGGGAACCACAGAGCCGAGUUUAACAAAUCCCCAUUAAGACACAUGUAGGAAACCUGACAGCCAGGCACAUGAGCAGAGUAACUACAGGGA